AGAGUUUGAUCCUGGCUCAGGAUGAACGCUGGCGGCGUGCCUAAUACAUGCAAGUCGAGCGAACAGACAAGGAGCUUGCUCCUUUGACGUUAGCGGCGGACGGGUGAGUAACACGUGGGUAACCUACCUAUAAGACUGGGAUAACUUCGGGAAACCGGAGCUAAUACCGGAUAAUAUUUCGAACCGCAUGGUUCGAUAGUGAAAGAUGGUUUUGCUAUCACUUAUAGAUGGACCCGCGCCGUAUUAGCUAGUUGGUAAGGUAACGGCUUACCAAGGCGACGAUACGUAGCCGACCUGAGAGGGUGAUCGGCCACACUGGAACUGAGACACGGUCCAGACUCCUACGGGAGGCAGCAGUAGGGAAUCUUCCGCAAUGGGCGAAAGCCUGACGGAGCAACGCCGCGUGAGUGAUGAAGGUCUUCGGAUCGUAAAACUCUGUUAUUAGGGAAGAACAUACGUGUAAGUAACUAUGCACGUCUUGACGGUACCUAAUCAGAAAGCCACGGCUAACUACGUGCCAGCAGCCGCGGUAAUACGUAGGUGGCAAGCGUUAUCCGGAAUUAUUGGGCGUAAAGCGCGCGUAGGCGGUUUUUUAAGUCUGAUGUGAAAGCCCACGGCUCAACCGUGGAGGGUCAUUGGAAACUGGAAAACUUGAGUGCAGAAGAGGAAAGUGGAAUUCCAUGUGUAGCGGUGAAAUGCGCAGAGAUAUGGAGGAACACCAGUGGCGAAGGCGACUUUCUGGUCUGUAACUGACGCUGAUGUGCGAAAGCGUGGGGAUCAAACAGGAUUAGAUACCCUGGUAGUCCACGCCGUAAACGAUGAGUGCUAAGUGUUAGGGGGUUUCCGCCCCUUAGUGCUGCAGCUAACGCAUUAAGCACUCCGCCUGGGGAGUACGACCGCAAGGUUGAAACUCAAAGGAAUUGACGGGGACCCGCACAAGCGGUGGAGCAUGUGGUUUAAUUCGAAGCAACGCGAAGAACCUUACCAAAUCUUGACAUCCUUUGACAACUCUAGAGAUAGAGCCUUCCCCUUCGGGGGACAAAGUGACAGGUGGUGCAUGGUUGUCGUCAGCUCGUGUCGUGAGAUGUUGGGUUAAGUCCCGCAACGAGCGCAACCCUUAAGCUUAGUUGCCAUCAUUAAGUUGGGCACUCUAAGUUGACUGCCGGUGACAAACCGGAGGAAGGUGGGGAUGACGUCAAAUCAUCAUGCCCCUUAUGAUUUGGGCUACACACGUGCUACAAUGGACAAUACAAAGGGCAGCGAAACCGCGAGGUCAAGCAAAUCCCAUAAAGUUGUUCUCAGUUCGGAUUGUAGUCUGCAACUCGACUACAUGAAGCUGGAAUCGCUAGUAAUCGUAGAUCAGCAUGCUACGGUGAAUACGUUCCCGGGUCUUGUACACACCGCCCGUCACACCACGAGAGUUUGUAACACCCGAAGCCGGUGGAGUAACCAUUUGGAGCUAGCCGUCGAAGGUGGGACAAAUGAUUGGGGUGAAGUCGUAACAAGGUAGCCGUAUCGGAAGGUG
rnacentral:rRNA from 1 species